GCACCGGCUAACUCCGUGCCAGCAGCCGCGGUAAUACGGAGGGUGCGAGCGUUAAUCGGAAUUACUGGGCGUAAAGGGUGCGUAGGUGGUUUAUUAAGUUAUCUGUGAAAUCCCUGGGCUUAACCUGGGCAGGUCAGAUAAGACUGAUGGACUCGUGUAUGGGAGAGGGUAGUGGAAUUUCCGGUGUAGCGGUGAAAUGCGUAGAGAUCGGAAGGAACACCAGUGGCGAAGGCGGCUACCUGGCCUAAUACUGACACUGAGGCACGAAAGCGUGGGGAGCAAAC
rnacentral:rRNA from 1 species